CCUGACGAGCACAGCGCCCCGGGACCACCCCUUCCCAUCCCGAACAGGACCGUGAAACGGGGCCGCGCCGAUGAUAGUGGGCACCCGCCCGCGAAAGUAGGUCACCGUCAGGC
rnacentral:rRNA from 1 species